AAUACCACUGAUAAUACGAAUCCCUAAUAUAUUUAUCUACUAUAGAAUGUUCUCUUUCUGAUCCGUCAAUCCCCUACACACACACUACCUUACCUUCAGCUCACGUAUCUACGAAUAUGCUAUCAAUCAACAAGCCAAUGCUAAUUCCAUGUGACGAUUUUUUUGUUCGCGUUAAUAAUCGAUAUGUGCUUAACCUUGUUAUUGAACUCGCCAGAGGGAACUUUUUCGCUGCACCCAUACAUAUGUACAUACAGAAACAUUUUUGUGUAGGUGAUGCCCAUUAUACACACGCAAAGAAACAGGUGACAAUCAUUUUUUUUCCACAAAAAAUAAAUCGCUAAUUUAAUUAUUUUGCGAUCUUUUGUGUUUAUUUGCUUUGGGAAUCUGUCGGGUUGGCACUAUUUACUCUUGCCGUUUCACAGAUCAUUAUGAUAUAUGGGCUAACAGGGAAAUGUAAUACCACUCCGUCAACGGACCUUGUCCUCCACUCCGGGGGUUCCGGUCUAUUCGUCAGGGAUGUGCUCAACCUCCAUCCCAGGAUGCGGAGGUGGCACUGAAACCUUUUUAAAAAGUGACGCCAUCUCUUCGAAAAACUUGUUCCUACUGGAGUAGUUCGGAUUGUCUAGGAAGGUACUCUGCCGCUUAAAGAUUUUAACGGGCCCUAUUCCAGCAGAAAAAAAAUCCCCAAAAAAUACUAACAAAAUAAAA